CAACUAUAUCACUUUGAAACACUGGUUCCCGUACGAGCACCGAUGUUAAGCAAUGUCGAGUAUGGUCAGUAUCUAGAUGGGUGACCGCUUGGGAAUACCAGGUGCUGUAA